ACAGCUUUGGACAAAAGUCUAGAGUCUGUGCGUUGUAACUCCCGGUGCACGCACAAGGGCUGACUGGGGCUGUGGGAAGACAUUUUACUUAUUUGCCUCCUUUCUUCCAGUCACCUUAUCCUUUCUCUCAGGUGUUGCUCACCUAUUACCAUUUCACCUGUUCUGGUCCUCUGUGGGGGAAAGUCCUGGGACUUGUCAGCUGGUCUAGGCCUCAUAAAAGACAGCUCU
rnacentral:lncRNA from 1 species